AUUAAAUAUAAAAAGAAGGAAGUUGAAACAGGAAAGACCACAACAUGAAGGAAAAACGGGAAGGAAAACUCAUGUAUGCAGCAUUCGACAAAACAAUUCAAAUGAAACUGGACCACACCACACAAAUUUUAAACGUCGCUCCUUAGCCUUUUCACAGAUCCAUACUCUUCUUCAUUUUCUUGAGCUUGUCUUUUCAAUGUAUUUCGCUUCUUGUUCAGGAAAUUCAUCAACCAUAUAGCAGAAGCUUUUGGAAAUCUUGUCAAAUAGCCAUUCACGAAAUCCACGUAAAAAAGGCCAAAUCUAACACUAUAUCCCGCACCCCAUUCAAAAUUAUCAAACAUUGACCAUAUAUAGUAACCCUUCACAUCUACNGGAUACAUAAUU
rnacentral:lncRNA from 1 species